rnacentral:rRNA from 1 species
GGCCCUUUCUUUUUUUUCCACCGGAGCUUGCUCCACCGGAAAAAGAGGAGUGGCGAACGGGUGAGUAACACGUGGGUAACCUGCCCAUCAGAAGGGGAUAACACUUGGAAACAGGUGCUAAUACCGUAUAACAAUCAAAACCGCAUGGUUUUGAUUUGAAAGGCGCUUUCGGGUGUCGCUGAUGGAUGGACCCGCGGUGCAUUAGCUAGUUGGUGAGGUAACGGCUCACCAAGGCCACGAUGCAUAGCCGACCUGAGAGGGUGAUCGGCCACAUUGGGACUGAGACACGGCCCAAACUCCUACGGGAGGCAGCAGUAGGGAAUCUUCGGCAAUGGACGAAAGUCUGACCGAGCAACGCCGCGUGAGUGAAGAAGGUUUUCGGAUCGUAAAACUCUGUUGUUAGAGAAGAACAAGGAUGAGAGUAACUGUUCAUCCCUUGACGGUAUCUAACCAGAAAGCCACGGCUAACUACGUGCCAGCAGCCGCGGUAAUACGUAGGUGGCAAGCGUUGUCCGGAUUUAUUGGGCGUAAAGCGAGCGCAGGCGGUUU